rnacentral:rRNA from 1 species
UACGAAGGGGGCUAGCGUUGCUCGGAAUCACUGGGCGUAAAGGGUGCGUAGGCGGAUCUUUAAGUCAGGGGUGAAAUCCUGGAGCUCAACUCCAGAACUGCCUUUGAUACUGAAGAUCUUGAGUUCGGGAGAGGUGAGUGGAACUGCGAGUGUAGAGGUGAAAUUCGUAGAUAUUCGCAAGAACACCAGUGGCGAAGGCGGCUCACUGGCCCGAUACUGACG